AUGGCCUUGGAAGGUGUGGAACAGCUUUCACACCAGGGGCAGCCGCAUAGCUCUGGAGUUUCCAGCCCAGGGAAGGACGUGUCCAAGGAUGGAUGUGCUAGAGAUCCACCAAGCGAUGUGGGAAGGAAGGUGGGCAGUGACUGCUGCUUGUCUCAGGCUCGCUGGGUUUGGAUCAACCUCGUGGUACUUCGCAGGUGGAAUUUGCACCAGCAGCUCCCCAGGGGGGUGAUGCUGUCUCACUAUGCCAAGUGCUCCACCAGCCCUGGUCCAAACCAAGCAGGAUGUCUGGUGUCAAAGCCAUCAAGGAGAUGAAAGCCAUAGAGACCCUCUGCCCUGAACCCAGGGCCUGAAUUUGCAGGGCUGGCCAGGGCAGUGUAUCCGUGAGUGGAAUUGUCUGGUUUGUGCUGAUUUCACCAUUUGUG
rnacentral:lncRNA from 1 species